rnacentral:rRNA from 1 species
UGAGGAAUAUUGGUCAAUGGGCGCAAGCCUGAACCAGCCAUCCCACGUGCAGGAAGACGGCGCUAUGCGUUGUAAACUGCUUUUCCAGGGGGAGAAACUUGCGCACGUGUUGCGCAAUUGACGGUACCCUGGGAAUAAGCAUCGGCUAACUCCGUGCCGGCAGCCGCGGUAAUACGGAGGAUGCGAGCGUUAUCCGGAUUCAUUGGGUUUAAAGGGUGCGUAGGCGGACUAUUAAGUCAGUGGUGAAAUCCUGCAGCUUAACUGCAGAACUGCCAUUGAUACUGAUAGCCUUGAGUUUGGUUAAGGUAGGCGGAAUGUGUAAUGUAGCGGUGAAAUGCUUAGAUAUUACACAGAACACCAAUUGCGUAGGCAGCUUACUGAGCCGACACUGACGCUGAGGCACGAAAGCGUGGGGAUCGAACAG